UCUUCCCAAAGGCGUCAUCAUCUUUACUGUUUGGUUGUUUAGAAAAAACGAGGACAUAAGGGUGGAAUUUU
rnacentral:tRNA from 1 species